GAUGGUGUAGUGGAAUCACAUUUGCUUUACACGCAAAAGGUCCUGGGAUCGAAACCCAGU
rnacentral:tRNA from 1 species